UUGUGACUGUGGGAUAAAAGCUCAGCUCUAACCUUGCCUUGACUGAUCAGGACUCCUCAGCUCACCUUCUCACAAUGAGGCUCCCUGCUCAGCUCCUGGGGCUGCUAAUGCUCUGGGUCCCUGGAUCCAGCAGGGAUGUUGUGAUGACCCAGUCUCCACUUUCCCUGCUCAUCACCCAUGGAGACCCAGCCUCUAUCUCCUACAAGUCUAGUCAGAGUCUCCUGCAUAGUGAUGGAAACAGCUAUUUGUCUUGGUAUCUGAAGAAGCCAGGCCAGUCUCCACAGCCCCUGAUCUACAAAGUUUCCACUAGUGCCUCUAGGGUCCCAGACAGGUUCAGUGGCAGUGGGUCAGGCACAGAUUUCAUGCUAAAAAUCAGCAGGGUGGAGCCUGAGGAUGUUGGAGUUUAUUACUGCAUGCAAUGUACAAAGUCAUCCCACAGUGGUAUAGCCCUGAGCACAAACCUCCCUGCUGGGUGGCCCAGCUGCCCACAUAUAUUGUUUGUCUUAGGAGCAGGCACCACAGAGAGCAAGACAAUAGAGAACUUACAGGGAUGAGUUGCAGCAAACUGUCCCCAGGCAUGCAGGGGCUACACCUCAGGCAGAACCUACAGGAGAAUGGCGGGGUUUAAGUGCCCACUGAGCAACCAGACAUGACAAUGGAGAAAGCUGAAUGAAAGUUCAUUUCAAUCCUCCUAGACUUUUCCUACAUCUAUUUUUCAAUUCAAACCAUUGAAUGUAACGACUUUGUAAGUAAUGCUGGUUCAUGUCAACCUAAAACUAAUAUUUGUUUGGAUUUUAUUUUUGUUGGAUAGUUAGUGGUUAUAGAUGUAGCUGGGUUUGUUUGGUAACAUACAGACUGUUUCUCUUCUUCCCCUACCUUCACACUUCCACUUUUUCUUAGCAUAUGUCUCUCUCCAGCAAAGGGACAGGCAUAGCAUUUUAUACCAUAGUUUCAGGAAUUAUCCAUGUAAGACCUAUGCACAUAUCUGGUUUUGGGCUACUAGGUUGACUUUGUUAAAUCUGUUUAAAAAUAAAAGUCACGUGUCCAAUGUGUUUGAUCAGUCUCAGGCACAGCAGGUUGAAAUAAAAUGUGAGGUUUCUGAAUUGCAAAUCAAGGGCUUUAAAAAUAAAGAUUCAAGUCGGAAGAAUUAGCAUACUUUUUAAAUGCCAUGUUCAACAGAAUUUUGAAAAAUAUUAGAUAAUGCAUGAUAAUUUUUUGCCUAACACAAAACAAGAAUAUUAAGAUUUUGGGCAGCAGCAGUGAAGAGGAGCAUGAAGGACAUGUGGCAGAGGUCAACUGUUGGAGCAAACCCAGCUCUGUUGCUCAUGUUUGCUGGAGUCCCUAUGCUGGUGGGGUUGGAGUUGAGCUACACACCCAGAUGGAAACUUGUAAGUAUUUCUUGGAAAGAAUCACAGUGUUGAAUAGACCCCUGCUUGGUCUUCAAGGCUGUGCCCUGAUGCCACUGCAAUCUCAUAGGGAAGUUAUCCCUCUUGUGGGGCUCUAGGACUUUAGUGACUCAAGGCUUACUGCAAAAUUACCUUAGGUCAUGUCACAUCUUCCUAAUCAACCCAGCAAGAAUGGUCAUUCAGGAGAUGCCUUAUAUCAAAAUAGUUAAGAUGAUAACGAGGGCUGAGCUAUGGCUGGGAAGAUCAGUGGGAGAUUCGAUGAUAGGAGCCGAAGGUCCAUAUUUUAGACCUGCAUGAAAGACAUUAGUGCAGCGUUACAAGAGAAACUCAGGAGAAUGUGGAAGCUUUCACUCUACGUUUCUGAUCCAGCCUCCAGCCACUCUUCCUAACCCAGAUCUCAACAAAUGUCUCAAAAUGAAAACCAUCAUGGAGUUAAGGGGUCAGUUCUUAUCUACUCUGUUAAGGCAGCUUCAAGAACUGCCAAACUUAUGUGGAUUUUCCUUCCUCAGAGUCCCUCUGUUUGGUCCAAGCCGGAAUCUCCACCCACACUCACACUUGGUAAGUUUUGUAAAAUAAGUCAAUGAAAGAAAACAUCAGUUUACCUAAAAUAGGCAUUUCUCCCAUGAAAUUUUAGGUAAUUUGGUUCAUUUUGUCUGUAGCACUAUGAUGUCAUUAUAAACAUGAUUUUUAAAAUAUACUACUCAUUCCU